UUCUGUAUAUUACAGGCUAAAAAAAAUAUACUUAUUACCUUUUAGAUUUAAGGAUACCUACCUACAGUUGGGGGUCUGCAUCCACGCAUGUUAUGAUGAUUAUUAUUAUUAUUAUGUCAUUCAUAUUGCAGAUAUUAUAAGUAGGAACUGAACUACUCCGCGCCCUAACUCAAAAUUUGGUAAAGAAGGAAGGAAAAAAAGAAGGUAAAGGUACCUUGCUUGUUUGCAAUGAAGAAAUUAUGAGAUGUUCAUGUUGAAGAAUAUUAUGAGAUGUUUCUCAUAAUAUAUACUUUUAAUCCCGGAAAAACUGUGAAUCCCGUAGGAAAGUCAAAUAAACUACUGGACCGAUUUA